rnacentral:tRNA from 1 species
GGAGGGAUGGCUGAGUGGUUGAAAGCACCGGUUUCGAAAGCCGGCAACGGGGCGACUCGUUCGGGGGUUCAAAUCCCUCUCCCUACGCCA